rnacentral:rRNA from 1 species
GGCGGCGUGCCUAACACAUGCAAGUCGUACGAGAAAGUUGGCUUCGGCCGAUGAGUAAAGUGGCGCACGGGUGAGUAACGCGUGGAUAAUCUGCCUUUUAGUUGGGAAUAACGUACCGAAAGGUGCGCUAAUACCGAAUAAUACUGAAUGACAUCAGUUGUUUAGUCAAAGAAGGCCUCUGCUUGCAAGCUUUUGCUGAAAGAUGAGUCCGCGUACCAUUAGCUAGUUGGUGGGGUAAUGGCCUACCAAGGCGACGAUGGUUAGCUGGUCUGAGAGGAUGAUCAGCCACACUGGAACUGAGACACGGUCCAGACUCCUACGGGAGGCAGCAGUGAGGAAUAUUGCGCAAUGGGGGCAACCCUGACGCAGCAACGCCGCGUGAGUGAGGAAGGUUUUCGGACCGUAAAGCUCUGUCGAGCGGGAAGAAAUGCAUGGUGGCUAAUAUCUAUCAUGCUUGACGGUACCGCUAAAGGAAGCACCGGCUAACUCCGUG